GUCGUCUGUUCCUAUCCUGGUGCUGAACAAGGUGCCAAGGGUGGGGCUGUUCGCCCAUUAAAAGGAAUCCUGAGAUGGGUUCACUACGUCGCGAGACAGUAGGGUUGCUUCUCCGUGGGAGUGCAUGAUGUCUGAGGGGAAGGAGCCUUUAGUACGAGAGGAACGGGGGUUCGUGGCUUCUGGUUUACCGGUUGUCUGGCAAGGCAAACGCCGGGUAGCCACGCCAUACGCGGAUAAAAGCUGAAAGCAUCUAAGCUUGAAGCCGCCCCUAAAAAUAGACAUCGUUAAUAGGUCUCUCCUAAAAGAGGAGAUUGAUAGAGCCGGGAUGUAAGUGCCAAGCUUCGGCGAGGCAUUCAGUCCACGGCCACUAAUCGACCGA
rnacentral:rRNA from 1 species